rnacentral:rRNA from 1 species
AUGAAUAGCAUUCACAACAAAGCUCAAGAGAAGUACAAUUUAUUUGUGGCACCCCAACCAUCAAUUGAUAACAUUAUGGUGAGGGUGGAUAAAGAGGAUUUGUGUAUGUACAAGGCUAGGCUGACUUAUUCACUUAGAUGCUUGAGGUUUCUUUUGAACCAAGGAUUGGCAUUUCGUGGACAUGAUGAGUGUGAAGAAUCUAGCAAUAGGGGGAACUUUCUUGAACUUCUUAAAUGGCUUUCGGAAAAUGAUGAAGUUAAUAAACUUGUUUUGAACAAUGCUCCUAGGAAUUGCAUCUUGACUAGUCGAAAGAUACAAAAUCAAAUAAUUGAAUGUUGUGCGACGCAAACAACUAAAAGAAUUAUUGAAGAUAUUGGUGAUGACCACUAUGCAAUCCUAGCCGAUGAGUCUAGUGAUGCAUCUCAUAAAGAACAACUUGCUCUCUGCAUACGAUUUGUUGACAAAUCGGGAAGAGGAUGUGAGAGGUUCCUUGGAGUUGUUCAUGUUGCCAAUACAACUUCAUUGUCACUUAAGGAUGCAAUUCAAACUUUGCUUAAAGAUCAUCAUUUGACUCCUAGUCAAAUACAUGGGCAAGGAUAUGAUGGGGCUAGCGACAUGAAAGGGGAGAUCAAAGGGUUGAAAACAUUGAUCAUGAAAGAGUCACCCUCUGCCUAUUACAUCCAUUGUUUUGCACAUCAACUUCAGUUGGUUCUCAUAGCUGUGGCAAAGGACAAUGAACCAUGUUUGUGGUUCUUUGAUCACGUUUCUUACUUGCUCAAUAUUGUUGGAGUUUCUUGUAAGCGCCACGACAUGCUUCGAGAUGUUAGAGUUCAAAAGGUGUUGGAAGCACUUGAAAUGGGUGAGAUUGAAAGUGGAAGUGGGCUAAAUCAAGAGAUGGGACUAGCUAGACCCGGCGACACUCGUUGGGGUUCUCAUUUUAAAACCAUUAUGCACAUUGUUAGCAUGUAUUCCACAAUCCUUGAAGUACUUGAUGCUAUUGGAAAAGAUCCUUCACAAAAAGGUGAGUGGACAAGAAUACGUGGAGUUGCUCAAGCCUUUGAAUCAUUUGACUUUGUUUUCAAUCUUCACUUGAUGCUUGUUAUUCUUGGCUAUACAAAUGAGUUGUCCAAAUCUUUGCAAAAGAGAGAUCAAGAUAUUGUCAAUGCAAUGACACUUGUUAGUUUGGCAAAGAGUAGAAUGCAACACAUGAGGUCUCAUGGUUGGGAAGAUUUUCUUGCAAAGCUAACCUUAUUUUGCAACAAACAUGACAUUCAAGUUCCUUUGUGGGAGGAUAUUUAUGAGCCUAAUCGAAGAUCACGUCGGUAUUAUGAAGUACAAACAAAUGAUGAUCGUUACAGAAGAGAAGUAUAUCUUGGUGUCAUUGAUCAAACCAUUCAAGAGCUUGACAAUCGGUUUGAUGAGGUUAAUACGGAGUUGCUUAUUUGCAUGUCAGCUUUGAAUCCCCUCAAUUCAUUUGCUUCUUAUGAUGCACUCAAGGUAAUGAGACUUGUUGAAUUCGAUCCCAUGGACAUUUCAAGCACGUCGGUAUUAAAGAAGCAUGUUCUUUAUGAUUUGGUCUACUUACUCAUCAAAUUGAUAUUGAUUUUACCGGUGGUGACGGCGAGUGUUGAAAGAGUGUUUUUCAGCAAUGAAUCUAGUGAAAAAUAA